rnacentral:tRNA from 1 species
AUCUAAAUAGUCAAUUAUGAUUUUAAAAUGCAAGUUUAAAGGUAAAUUUAAUUUUUUAGAUU